GACCAUAAUAAUGCUAAGCAAGCUUAAUCGAAUUCAAAAAAAUUUAAAGAAAUUUCAAACAAAUAAUAAGAAUUCUUAAAAAAAUAUUAGAAGGAUUACAAAUAUCACUCAAAUACAUCUCAAUUCAAUCUUUAUUUAAUUCUAGUCAAAAUUAUAUUGAACUUUAUUCAAAAUAUAAGCCAAAAUUGAUUAAAUAUUAAACCCUAAAUCCUAAAUCAAAUCCUAAUCAAACCAUAAAUCUUAAAUCAAUUCCUAAAUCAAACUCUAAAUCCUAAUCCAAAACUUAUCCAAAUCCUAAACCCUAAACCAAAUCCUAAAUCAAAUCCUAAAUCCUAAAUCAAGUCUUAAAUCCUAAAUCAAGCCCUAAAUCCUAACCAUACCCUAAUCCAAAUCCUAAACUCUAAACCAAACCCUAACCAAAUCUUAAUCCAAAUCUUAAAUCCUAAUCAAAUCCUAAUCUAAACUCUAAUCCAAACCCUAAACCAAAUCCUAAACCAUAACCAAAUCCUAAAUCCUAAACCAAAACCUAACCUUAAACCAAAACUUAACCAAAUCCUAGUAAUUCCUAUAACAGAUAUAAUCCUCAAUAACUAAUGAAUAAACCGUUGAUCUUAAC
rnacentral:lncRNA from 1 species